rnacentral:rRNA from 1 species
GCAGUCGAACGAAGUAGCAAUACUUAGUGGCAGACGGGUGAGUAACAUGUAGGUAUCUGCCCUUUGGCCUGGAAUAACACGAGGAAACUUGUGCUAAUACCGGAUAAGUCUUUACGGAGAAAGCUUUAUGCACCAUUGGAUGAGCCUGCACUUGAUUAGUUUGUUGGUGGGGUAAUGGCCUACCAAGACUGUGAUCAAUAGCUGAUUUGAGAGGAUGAUCAGCCACAUUGGGACUGAGACACGGCCCAAACUCCUACGGGAGGCAGCAGUGGGGAAUCUUGCACAAUGGAGGAAACUCUGAUGCAGCGAUGCCGCGUGAGUGAAGAAGGCCUUUGGGUUGUAAAGCUCUUUCGUCGGGGAAGAAAAUGACUGUACCCGAAUAAGAAGGUCCGGCUAACUUCGUGCCAGCAGCCGCGGUAAUACGAAGGGACCUAGCGUAGUUCGGAAUUACUGGGCUUAAAGAGUUCGUAGGUGGUUGAAAAAGUUGGUGGUGAAAUCCCAGAGCUUAACUCUGGAACUGCCAUCAAAACUUUUCAGCUAGAGUAUGAUAGAGGAAAGCAGAAUUUCUAGUGUAGAGGUGAAAUUCGUAGAUAUUAGAAAGAAUACCAAUUGCGAAGGCAGCUUUCUGGAUCAUUACUGACACUGAGGAACGAAAGCAUGGGUAGCGAAGAGGAUUAGAUACCCUCGUAGUCCAUGCCGUAAACGAUGUGUGUUAGACGUUGGAAAUUUAUUUUCAGUGUCGCAGCGAAAGCGAUAAACACACCGCCUGGGGAGUACGACCGCAAGGUUAAAACUCAAAUGAAUUGACGGGGACCCGCACAAGUAGUGGAGCAUGUGGUUUAAUUCGAAGAUACGCGCAGAACCUUACCAACACUUGACAUGUUCGUCGCGACUUUAAGAGAUUAAAGUUUUCGGUUCGGCCGGACGAAACACAGGUGCUGCAUGGCUGUCGUCAGCUCGUGUCGUGAGAUGUUGGGUUAAGUCCCGCAACGAGCGCAACCCUCACUUUUAGUUGCCAUCAUUAAGUUGGGCACUCUGAAAGAACUGCCAGUGAUAAGCUGGAGGAAGGUGGGGAUGACGUCAAGUCCUCAUGGCCCUUACGUGUUGGGCUACACACGUGCUACAAUGGUAUCUACAACAGGAAGCAAAACGGCGACGUUAAGCAAAUCCUUAAAAGAUACCUCAGUUCGGAUUGCACUCUGCAACUCGAGUGCAUGAAGCUGGAAUUACUAGUAAUCGUGGAUCAGCGUGCCACGGUGAAUGCGUUCCCGGGUCUUGUACACACCGCCCGUCACACCAUGGGAGUUGGUUCUACCUUAAGGCAAGGUUCNNAAACCCCUGACCCACCGUAAUGAACCGA